GCCGCGUGUGUGAAGAAGGUCUUCGGAUUGUAAAGCACUUUAAGUUGGGAGGAAGAGCAGUAACCUAAUACGUUAUUGUUUUGACGUUACCGACAGAAUAAGCACCGGCUAACUCUGUGCCAGCAGCCGCGGUAAUACAGAGGGUGCAAGCGUUAAUCGGAAUUACUGGGCGUAAAGCGCGCGUAGGUGGUUUGUUAAGUUGAAUGUGAAAUCCCCGGGCUCAACCUGGGAACUGCAUCCAAAACUGGCAAGCUAGAGUAGGGCAGAGGGUGGUGGAAUUUCCUGUGUAGCGGUGAAAUGCGUAGAUAUAGGAAGGAACACCAGUGGCGAAGGCGACCACCUGGGCUCAUACUGACACUGAGGUGCGAAAGCGUGGGGAGCAAACAGGAUAAGAUGGAGUCCACGCCGUAAACGAUGUCAACUAGCCGUUGGAAUCCUUGAGAUUUUAUGGCGAGCUAACUUAA
rnacentral:rRNA from 1 species